GCAGAGUAGGAAAAUGUGUGUCCAGUGCCGCCGGGACGGGGAGUUGUCCGGCGGACGAAAUGGCGGUUCGCCGUCUGCAGUGCAUUUUCCGCAUCCCGCUGC
rnacentral:ncRNA from 1 species